rnacentral:rRNA from 1 species
UACGUAGGGUGCAAGCGUUAAUCGGAAUUACUGGGCGUAAAGCGUGCGCAGGCGGUUGUGCAAGACAGAUGUGAAAUCCCCGGGCUUAACCUGGGAACUGCAUUUGUGACUGCACGGCUAGAGUGUGUCAGAGGGGGGUAGAAUUCCACGUGUAGCAGUGAAAUGCGUAGAUAUGUGGAGGAAUACCGAUGGCGAAGGCAGCCCCCUGGGUCAAAACUGACGCUCAUGCACGAAAGCGUGGGGAGCAAACAGG